UAUCUUUGGUGUACUUGUAUAUGUUUACUGUCUGAUUAUCAAAUUACAGAUAUUUGUAAAAUAAGUUAACAUCACUAUGCAAUUCAUCAAGUACAGGGUAAAUACAUUUAUAGAUAUAUCCUUUUUUAUUAUAUCCCGAAGUUUGGGGGGGGGUAUAUAGGAAUCAGCUUGUCCGUCUGUCCAUCCAUCCAUCUGUCUAGCUGUCCAUCUAUCGAUCUGUCUGUGCAAAUGUGUCCGGUCCAUAUCUUUCUUAUGGAUAAACUUGGUAGGUUCCCAUUUCACACAAAGAUUGCUCAUGACCUAAGGGGGUGUCAUGACCUUGACCAAGGUAAUUUGGGGAAGUUCAAGGUCACUGAAAGAAAAAAAUCAUUAUUCGUGUUUGGUCCAUAUCUUUCUUAUGGAUAAACUUGGUAGGUUCUAAUUUCACACAAAGAUUGCUCAUGACCUAAGGGUGUGUCAUGGUCUUGACCCAAGAUCAUCUAUGCAAGUUCAAGGUCACUGAAAGAAAAAUUACAUAAUUCGUGUCUGUUCCAUAUCUUUUAUAUUUAUUUUAUCUACUACUUCACACAAACAUUGCUUAUGACCUGAGGUUGUGUCAUGACUUUGAACCAAGGUCAUUUAUGCAAUUCAAGGUUACUGACAGAAAAAGUUCAUAAUUCGUGUCUGGUCUGUAUAUUUAGUCUAUUUUUUUUUAUUAGGCUGCACCUUCGUUUCAUUUAUAAAAAAUAUAAUGAGCAAUUACAUUUGCACUUAAAAUGUUUUAGCAUUUCUCUCUUCUCUUAGAUCCAUAAAAUAUUCAUGAUUUAGCACUUUUGAAAAACCCAGCGGGGUGUAUUUUGUCCUGUUUGGACAGUUUUAGUUGAUUAAUGUCGUUCAAUUUGAAAAAAUAAAAACUGUCUUUAAAACAGAAAUUGUGAAAUCUCUUUUAAGUCAUUAUUCAUAUUGAUGUGAAUUGAAAAUGCAAUUAGACUUUCUUAGUUGUGAAUGCAAUGGAAAACAGUACCCCGGUAUGUAUCAGUGCAUUGUUUAUCAACUGCUAAUUUUGAGAUGUAAUGUUAUAAAUCUGGACAUUCUUAUAGAGAGAUGUUUUCUGUCUGAUGUGUUUAGUGUGUGAGCAAUGAAGAUAUGUAACUGAGGUUUUUUGUAUUCAUGUUGCAAUUGUUUUUUUUCUAGUUUUCAUGUAUAUUCACCAAUGCCAAGACAAUGAUGGACUAUAAAGUCUCAAAGUGUGUAUAAUUUUCUUGUUUUUACUGGAUUAGGGUUAUAAUUAGCAUGAGAUAUUAAAAAAAGUAUAUAAUGCUUAUAACAGUUUAAUAAGGUUUAUUAUAUACAUUCUACUGCAUGAUAAAUCAGAAGAACACAAUUUACCAUGCACUUGCCACGUAUGUGCUUCAAAAGUAAAUUUGUUUUCUUUAUUGUUAAUUGAUAGUUUUUUUUAUAUGUAAUUAUUAACAAUUGCAACCAUUGCAGAGAAAAUACAUACAUGUAAACCACUUACUUGAUUUUACCAUAGCUUUAUGAAACUGUGAGAUACAAGUUUCCCCCAAAAUUUGUUUUACAUUUAUUUACGUGUUUUGCACUUAGGAUCUGUUACUGAUGUUAUUGUUUUUCAGAGUUUUGUAUUUAAUAAAUUGUGUUCAAUUUCUUUACAUGAAAUGAGAUAAACUUUAAUGUAUUAUAUUGUAAAUAUUUAAAAAAUUCACACAAGAUAUUUACAGUGUACAUGACAUGUAGUGUUAUCAGUAUGUAAAAUUCCAUGUAAAAAAUUGCAAUUUGUAAUAUCUUUGCAAACGGAAUUAAAAGAAAACAAUUGUGUUUGUCCCAUAAUGUUUGCAAGUAACUAUGAAUUUCAAUUAUUGAAUUACUCACAGGGACUAUUUUUUGGGACCAGAAAAUAUUCUUCACAGAUAAACAGUGAAACAUGUAGUUCAUAGAGAGAAAUAUUACCAAGUAAAUCAAGGUUGCAAAUAUCAUUUCUAUUUCUAUGAGGCAAAUAAAAGCUGGUUUACAGUAUUAUACUUUGUAUUAAUUGUGCUGCUGCCUCUUUUGGAGACUUUACUCUCUCCUAUUUCCGUCAAAGAGAUUGAUUAUCUCAAAAGUUUUUACCUUUUUAGUUGAUUUAACAGCUGUUUAAAAGCAAAGGUUAAACUUCUCCAACUUUGUGGAGUAACAUCAUGGGACUUGUCUCUCCUUACCAGAAAAUUUGCCAGGACACAAUUUACUGUUAAUAUUUUGUAUGUAAGAAGAAUAAAAACAAUACAAGAAACA